rnacentral:rRNA from 1 species
CCUACGGGUGGCUGCAGUGGGGAAUAUUGCACAAUGGGGGAAACCCUGAUGCAGCAACGCCGCGUGAGCGAUGAAGGCCUUCGGGUCGUAAAGCUCUGUCCUGAGGGAAGAAUACUGACGGUACCUUAGGAGGAAGCCCCGGCUAACUACGUGCCAGCAGCCGCGGUAAUACGUAGGGGGCUAGCGGUAUCCGGAAUGACUGGGCGUAAAGGGUGCGUAGGCGGCCCUGCAAGUCAGAGGUGAAAGGCUACGGCUUAAACGUAGUAAGGCUUUGAAACUGUAGGGCUUGAGUGCAGGAGAGGAGAGUGGAAUUCCCAGUGUCGCGGUGAAAAGAGUAGAUAUUGGGAGGAACGCCAGUUGCGAGCGCGGGUAUCUGGACUGUAACUGACGCUGAGGCACGAAAGCGUGGGGAGCGAACAGGAUUAGGUAACGCAGUAGUC